UCCUGGUUUCCCAGGCAGUCUCGCCAGAGUGCUUAAUCCGAAGACAAUUGCAACUGACGACAAGGGUUGCGCUCGUUAAAGGACUUAACCCAACAUCUCACGACACGAGCUGACGACAGCCAUGCAGCACCUGUGUAAAUGUCUAACCCGAAGGCUAGAAGACCGUAUCUCUACGGCUGUCAUAAACAUGUCAAGCCUAGGUAAGGUUCCUCGCGUAGUGACGAAUUAAACCACAUGUUCCACCGCUUGUGCGGACCCCCGUCAAUUCCUUUGAGUUUUAGUCUUGCGACCGUAAUCCCCAGGCGAAUCACUUAUCGCGUUAGCUUCGACACUAAUUCGGAUAAACCAAACUAACGUCUAGUGAUCAUCGUUUACGGUGUGGACUAC
rnacentral:misc_RNA from 1 species